rnacentral:rRNA from 1 species
CCUACGGGUGGCAGCAGUGGGGAAUAUUGCACAAUGGGGGGAACCCUGAUGCAGCGACGCCGCGUGAGUGAAGAAGUAUUUCGGUAUGUAAAGCUCUAUCAGCAGGGAAGAAGAUGACGGUACCUGACUAAGAAGCCCCGGCUAACUACGUGCCAGCAGCCGCGGUAAUACGUAGGGGGCAAGCGUUAUCCGGAUUUACUGGGUGUAAAGGGAGCGUAGACGGCAGGGCAAGUCUGGAGUGAAAGCCCGGGGCCCAACCCCGGGACUGCUUUGGAAACUGGCAAACUGGAGUGUGUGAGAGGAUAGUGGAAUUCCAGGUGUAGGAGUGAAAUCCGUAGAUAUCUGGAGGAACAUCAGUGGCGAAGGCGACUAUCUGGCACAUAACUGACGCUGAGGAGCGAAAGCGUGGGUAGCAAACAGGAUUAGAUACCCGUGUAGUC